AUUGAACGCUGGCGGCAUGCCUUACACAUGCAAGUCGAACGGCAGCACGGGUGCUUGCCCCUGGUGGCGAGUGGCGAACGGGUGAGUAAUACAUCGGAACAUGUCCUGUAGUGGGGGAUAGCCCGGCGAAAGCCGGAUUAAUACCGCAUACGAUCUACGGAUGAAAGCGGGGGACCUUCGGGCCUCGCGCUAUAGGGUUGGCCGAUGGCUGAUUAGCUAGUUGGUGGGGUAAAGGCCUACCAAGGCGACGCUCAGUAGCUGGUCUGAGAGGACGAACAGCCACACUGGGAAUGAGACACGGCCCAGACUCCUAAGGGAGGCAGCAGUGGGGAAUUUUGGACAAUGGGCGAAAGCCUGAUCCAGCAAUGCCGCGUGUGUGAAGAAGGCCUUCGGGUUGGAAAGCACUUUUGGCCGGAAAGAAAGCCUUGGCCCUAAUACGGGCGGGGGAUGACGGUACCGGAAGAAUAAGCACCGGCUAACUACGUG
rnacentral:rRNA from 1 species